UUCCUUCACCGCUUCACAACCAAACCCUAGCCUCCGUCUUCCUUGAAGCUUCUACAUCUAAUUUUCUCUGAAAAGAUAGGUGUCGCUUGUGCUUUGAAUCGACUGAUAAAGGAUUCCAAACUCAAACCGAUUCACUUACAAAUGGUGAUGGUGGUGGCCUGAAGAGGAACGAUGACAACAACAUUGGUUGAUUUAGGUUUUCCCAGUGGUGGUCUUAUGAUGGUUGUGGUUUAACGCAACAACGAAAGGGCGGCGGCUAGGGUUUCACCAACACAUAAAUCGAUCUGGACCGACCGGUGUUGACGAAAAAGGAAUUACUCUUUGUUUUCGGAAGGAUGUUUGGGGGUUUAGCUAUGACAUGUGCUGAUAAACUUUCUGAUGUAC